rnacentral:rRNA from 1 species
CGCGAAUUCGCCCUUCGGGGUGCAGCAGGCGCGAAAACUUUACAAUGCUGGCAACAGCGAUAAGGGGACCUCGAGUGCCAGGAUACAAUCUUGGCUGUCGCGAUGCCUAAAAAGCAUUGCAUAGCAAGGGCCGGGCAAGACCGGUGCCAGCCGCCGCGGUAACACCGGCGGCUCGAGUGGUAACCGCUAUUAUUGGGUCUAAAGGGUCUGUAGCCGGCCGGAUAAGUCUUUUGGGAAAUCCAGCUGCUCAACAGUUGGGCUUUCAGAAGAUACUGUUCGGCUCGAGACCGGGAGAGGUGAGAGGUACUUCAGGGGUAGGGGUGAAAUCUUGUAAUCCUUGAAGGACCACCAGUGGCGAAGGCGUCUCACCAGAACGGAUCUGACGGCAAGGGACGAAAGCUAGGGGCACGAACCGGAUUAGAUACCCGGGUAGUCCUAGCCGUAAACGAUACUCGCUAGGUGUCAGCCACGGUGCGACCGUGGUUGGUGCCGUAGGGAAGCCGUGAAGCGAGCCACCUGGGAAGUACGGCCGCAAGGCUGAAACUUAAAGGAAUUGGCGGGGGAGCAC